rnacentral:lncRNA from 1 species
GGAACCUGUGAAGUCCUGCAUCCGGAGAAUAAACCCAUGUACCUGUACAUGCUGGGGGAUAACCAGCUGGAAAGUAGUUGCUGAGAUGGACCUGGUGGUCUGUCCGUGCAGGGUUGCAGCAAAGAAGGACAAGAGUAUCCUGGGCUAUGCAAGAAAAAGAUUUGCCAGAAAGUUGAGAAAGAUGAUCCCUUCCCUCUGAGCAGCAGUGGGGAGGCCACAUCUGGAGUGCUGGGUCCAGUCCUGGGCUCCCCAGUGCAGGAAAACCUGGAUACAGAUCUACUCAAGUCUGGAACCACAUCUGAUUUAUGGAGCACAGUAUUGCGUCUCAUACCACCUACUACAGCAACAAGCCUUGUACAUCAUUACUAGUGAAAUACAAUUCCUUUCAACUAAAAAGUGUCUUCAGGGUAGCACAUGUUGACCAUUCUUAUUGUUUAUUCAAUUUGUCCCUUCUUAUAUUCUCACCUCUACUACCUGCAUUUUCUUUCUAUCCCAGAUCUGAAUCUCUUUUUCUGUAUGUCAGCAAAAGCAAUGGUGCCUGUCUCACUCCAGCCUAAUUAUGGCCUUGAUUGUCAGUUAUAAUCUCAACUCCAAUCAAAUUGUAUUCUCCAAGAGAAAACAAGCCCUGAUUUUCUAUAAUGCAGCUAUUGAUACGUGCAGGCUACCUCAUCCUGUGGACUUGUGAAGUCCUGUCAUGCCAGUAACUUCCUGCAUUUAAGGGGUACUCUGAAAGUAAUCAGCAGCAGAUGUUGGUAGUAUGGCAGUAGAGACUGAACCUUCUUGUAAAUAUUCCAUUUCAUUUUGUUUCUAUGUGACAGAUGGCAGCAGAGGGGCAGUCCAAUAAAAUGAUGUCUGACAGGGAACUGUAUGAAGCAAAGGUGUGGAACUGAAUUCCUCCAUUUGGAAAAAAUGACACCCACUGGCAUUCAUCAGUGCUUACUGAACAUUUAUGGAGACCAAACAGUAAAUAUGAUCACAGUGAGGCAACGGGUGGUGAUCUUCAGCAGCUGCAAGAAUGACAUUGGAUCACCUCUGUUGGUGCAGAUUUUUCUGAGCGUGGCACACAGGCUCUUGUUCAAUGAUGGCAGAAGUAGUGCUUUGUAGCUGAGUAUUUGCUCUAUUGAAUAGUUAUAUUGUGCUUUAUAUAUGUUGUAGUUUCCAGUUUCCAUGGAAAUAAAUAGAAG